GUUUUUUUUUUUUUUUUUGUAUUUUUUUUUUAGUAGAGACGGGGUUUCACUGUGUUAGCCAGGAUGGUCUCGAUCUCCUGACCUCGUGAUCCGCCCGUCUCAGCCUCCCAAAGUGCUGGGAUUACAGGCUUGAGCCACCGCGCCCGGCCCAGAUGAGUUCUUAACCAGUGCUAUAAAGGAAAAAAAUAAAAAUCAUAAAGACUGGAAAAAAACAUGAAACUGUCUUUAUUCAGAGACUGUUAUAUAGAAAAUCUUAUAAAAUACACAAAAACACUCUUAUAACUGAGUCCAGCAAGGGGAAUAAACAAGAAUCAAGUCUAUCUUUACAUAUUAUCAAUACUUGAGGAAUUUUUAAAAAUUAUAUAUUUUUUUAAAAAACCACAAAAUACUUAAGGAUAAAGCAAAAUAUUUGCAAAGCCUAUACCCUGUAAGCUACAAAAUGCUGCCAAGAGCCGAGAAACACUGAAGAUCUAAAUAAAUGAAGAGAUACACCAUUUAUAAAGAUUCAAUAUUGUUAAGAUGUCAACUCUUCCCAAUUGUUCCACAGAUAAGAUGCAAGUCCCAUAAAAAUUCCACCAGGGUUCUUUUUUAAAAAAAUUAAUGAAAUGAAAUCCUAGAAGACCCAAAACAAUUUUGAAAAUUUAGAACCUGGAGGAAAUAAGCCACCUGAUUUCAAGACUUACUAUAUAGCUAUAGUAAUCAAAGCAGUGUGGUAUUACAUAAUGAUAAACACAUUGAUCAAUGGAACAGAACACUCUCCUGAAACAGACCUGCAUACAUAGAGUCAACUGAUUUUCAACAAAUGAGCAAAGGAAAUGUCUUUUUAAUAAUGGAGGCUACAACUGGAUACACAUAUGUAAGAAAAAAAUCAAACUUGAUUGUUUCCUGACAUAUACACCAAAACUUAUUUGAAAUGGCUCACAGACCUAAAUGUGAGAGCCAAAACUUUAAAACUUCUACAAGAAAAGGUAGUAAAAUAAAAAUCUUUGUGCCUCUGGAUUAGGCAAAGAUUUCUCAGGAAGAACACAAAAAGCUUGAACCAUAAAACAAAAUGUGAAAGUAGACUUCAUCAGAACUUACAAUUUCUGCUGUUUGACAUAUACCACACUAAGAGAAAAGGCAAGCAGGUGACUGGGAGAAAAUACUCAUAACACAAACAUCUGAGAAAGGACUUACAUGUAGGAUAUUCAAAUAACUCUUCCAACUCAAAAACAGAAAAAGAACAAUUUGAAAAUGGGCAAGAGUUGAAUAGUUACUUGACGAAAGAUGUACAAAUGACCUAUAAGUACAUGAAAAAGUGCUCAACAUCAUUAAUGUUCAGAGAACUGCAAGUUUAACUACAAUGAGAUUCCACAUUUCCACUAGAGUGGCUAAAAUGUGUUGAUGAGGAUGUGGAGUAACUGGACUCUCACAUAUUGCUGCUGGGAAUGCAAAAUGAUUCCACCACUUUGUAAAUUGGCCAUUUCUCCCAGAGUCAAACAUACACUUACCUUAUACACUUACCUUAUAAGAGAAAUGAAAACAUAUAUCCACAGAAAGACUUCUAUACAUCUAGUCAUGGCAACUUUAUCAUGACCAAAAACUGUAUAGAACUGAAAAAUCCAUCACUAGGUAAAUGGAUAAACAAUUUCUGGUAUAUCCACACAAAUACCACUGAGCAAUGAAAAGGACUGAAUGACACACAUUCAGGAAUCUCAGAACCAUUGUGCUAGAAGAAGAUACAAAAAGGACUGUGAUAAAUGAUAUGAAACUCUAGAGAAGUCUGAGUAUACCUUUGACAAAACUCUACAACUGUACACCUCAAAUAGGUGCAUUUUAUAUGUAAGUUAUAGCUUGGUAAAGUUAACAUUUUCUAUGUAUUAGAGGACAUAAGAUUUCUCCUCUUUAAAAUAGGAACAACAAUAUCUACAUCAUAUGUUGUUGUGAUAAGUAAAUGAGUUAGGAUUAGUUCCUAUGAAACACUAAAGGCUUGUCUGGCAUAUAAUAAAAACAAAAAUAUGUUAGCAGGAUAACUACACGACAAAGUCACUAUAACCAGUAGUUCUCAAUUUAGAGUAACUGUGCCCCCCCAGGAGAAACUGGGCAAUGUCUGCAAACAUUUCUGAUUGUCAUGAUUGGAGGGGUACUACCAGCAACUAGCCAACAGAGGUCAGGGAUGUUGCUAAACAUCCUACAAGGCAUAGAACAGCCUACAUAACAAAGAAUAAUCUGACCC
ensembl:lncRNA